CUUUUGCAUAUCAUUUUACUCGGAGAUUGGCUGGAUUUAUUUGAGCGUGUACGUUUUGUUUAUGAUUAGUGGUAUGAAAAAAUGAAACUGAUGUUGUGGUGCAGGAAGUAUCCCUUCAUUACGGAUUCUGGGAGUGUGCAAGCGGCGGAUCAUAGGCUGCUGUAUCGUGAAGGAAGUUUAUGGUAAGACCACGUAAGACUGAAUAUCGUUCGGCAGCUAUUAUUCUUACCAAUUAGAUACAAUAAUAACUGAUACAGGUUCAUACAUAACCUGAUGUGUUAGAGAAAACGACUAACUUCGAUUCACACACUCAAGAAAAAACAAGUCGUAUGUAAGUCCUAUAGGAGACAUAUCAAGCUCUCUUUCCUGGUGGCUGAAAUUACACCGUGCUCAGCGAGUAUAGCGAGGUGCAUCAUCGGCGCAUUUGAUUUUAACGUCAAUGCAUCAGUGACUAAGUAAAAGGAAAGCG